GGCGUUUGCGUGCUUCUCACUGUGAAAAUCACAGUGAGAAGACGCCAGCGUCCAUAGGAAAGCAUUGUGAAUGCUUUCCUAUGAGACUUGCUGAAUGCACGUGCGGCUCUUGCCGCGCAUGCGCAUUCGGCCGAGGAGGAGGAGAGCUCCCUGCCCGGCGCUGGAGAAAGAGGUAAGUUUAACCCCUUCCACCCCAUAGAGCCCAGCGGGAGUGGGACCUUGAGGGUGGGGGAACCCUCAGGGCACUAUAGUGCCAGGAAAACGAGUAUGUUUCCCUGGCACUAUAGUGGUCCUUUAACUAUUCACAACACCAACAUAUUUCUGAUAAGGAGGGACAAAUGACUGAUAACCAAAUCUGUAAA